AUUGAACGCUGGCGGCAGGCCUAACACAUGCAAGUCGAACGGUAACAGGAAGCAGCUUGCUGCUUUGCUGACGAGUGGCGGACGGGUGAGUAAUGUCUGGGAAACUGCCCGAUGGAGGGGGAUAACUACUGGAAACGGUAGCUAAUACCGCAUAACGUCGCAAGACCAAAGAGGGGGACCUUCGGGCCUCUUGCCAUCGGAUGUGCCCAGAUGGGAUUAGCUUGUUGGUGAGGUAACGGCUCACCAAGGCGACGAUCCCUAGCUGGCCUGAGGGGGUGACCAGCCACACUGGAACUGAGACACGGGCCAGACGCCGACGGGAGGCAGCAGUGGGGAAUAUUGCACAAUGGGCGCAAGCCUGACGCAGCCAUGCCGCGUGUAUGAAGAAGGCCUUCGGGUUGUAAAGUACUUUCAGCGGGGAGGAAGGUGUUGUGGUUAAUAACCGCAGCAAUUGACGUUACCCGCAGAAGAAGCACCGGCUAACUCCGUGCCAGCCGCCGCUGUAA
rnacentral:rRNA from 1 species